rnacentral:misc_RNA from 1 species
AAAAGAGUCCCCAAAUCGGUGUUCUAGGGUUUAGGGAACUUGUAAUUGCAGAUGGCUGGUAAUGCUAUUCACCCAUUCCACCAACAAUGGCCUCCAGCUCCAGCCCCAGCCCCUCCUCUUCCUUCUGGCCCCCCUCCACAUCAUCACCAUCACUCAAUGCCCAUCGAUGAGGUUCGGACGAUUUUCAUUUCCGGGCUACCGCAGGAUGUAAAGGAGAGAGAAUUGGUGAAUCUUCUGAGGUGGUUACCAGGUUACGAAGCAUCUCAGCUCAAUUUCAAAGGCGAAUUACCCAUGGGUUUUGCCUUAUUCUCUAACCAUCAAUGCGCAAUCGGUGCAAAGGACGCCAUUCAGGGUUUGGUUUUUGAUACGGAGGGGAAAUGUGUUCUGCACACAGAGAUGGCCAAGAAAAAUCUCUUUGUCAAAAGAGGAAUUGUAGUUGAUUCAAAUGCACAUGACCAGAGUAAACGUAUGCGUACUGGAGGUGAUUACACGCACAGUGGUUAUUCAAGUCCCUCUCCUUUCCACCCUCCUCCCGCACCUGUCUGGGCACCACAUGGGUAUAUAACUCAAGCUCCUCCACCAUACAAUCCAUAUGGAGGCUACCCUGUUGCGCAUAUGCCAAUGGCUGCACCUGCUCCUGUGCCAGCACCAAGCAGUUAUGCACCAGUCCAGAAUACUAAAGACAACCCUCCCUGCAAUACCCUUUUCAUUGGUAAUCUUGGAGAGAAUAUAAAUGAGGAAGAGCUGAGGGGCCUUAUCAGCGGACAACCUGGUUUUAAGCAGAUGAAGGUUUUGAGACAGGAAAGACAUACAGUAUGUUUCAUUGAAUUUGAAGAUGUGAAUAGCGCCACCAAUGUACAUCACACUUUGCAGGGUGCAGUCAUACCGAGCUCUGGUUCAGUUGGCAUGCGAAUUCAAUAUUCAAAGAAUCCAUUUGGGAAAAGGAAGGACUUUGGCCACCCAGCUGUUGCCCCCAAUGCAAAUGGAGCUCCUUCACCUCUGACAUACUAGUAGCUGCAGGGGAUGUAUUCUGUUCUCUAUGCUCUGCCAAAUACAAAUGCAUCAUGCAGCUGUUGCAUGCAUCCUUGCUAUCAUCAAGUCAUGAGCAUUAUCAUCUUGACAUGAACAUCUUUUUGGACCAUAUCAUAGUUUAUCCAAGACAUGCAUUUGAAGCACAGUCAUCUCAACAUUGUCAGCUUAUUCAGGGUUCACAUUUUGUGGCAUGUCAUAAGAUGCAUUUAAUUUUUGGCCUUGAAUCUUGUUGGUCUGUGGUGUCGCAUUGUAUUCUACAUUUGGGAAUUUCUUUAUUUUGUGUUAACCUAUGUUUUAAACCUCAAGUGACUUCUUAGCACCUCUAACAACGUAUUAUGUGCGGGUGAAAUAGAAUCUGCAUCAUAAAUUGAGAUCUUAAUGCGAGUAGCAUCCAUCUCAACUCUCUCUGGUUAGGGUUGUCAGUCACUCCUUUAACCCUCUUACUUGAACUGAUGAUAACGCUAUAACAUCCAGGUUUUCAGAUCCUGGAAGACUGGAUUGUCCUGGAAAUUCCAUUGUGCUUGUGUUAUGCAGCAUUUGUGCAAAAAGAGGGGACUUCCUUUUACUUGGGGAUUGGCGGUUGCUGGAGUUGCUUUAUCCAGGUAUUUAGUUCCACAUGAAGAGUGUGCACACAAUCAUAUAGAUGUUGAUGCAGCACCGUGUGAGAAGAUGGUUCAUGUUUGUUUCAGGCUGGUGUGCUAGGUUUGAGCUUUCUCGCAUGUUUCCUUUUUGCUCAGCUAACUUCGAUUGCAAACAAAAGUUGGACUCCUUGAUUUUUCAUGGUUGACUGGUUGUGGAUAAAUGAUCUGUAACAGUUUAGAGUGAGUGACUUUGAAGAGUAAUAGUUAAG